GGUCCCCUCUUAGCUGGCAUCAGCUGUCUUCCCCACCUCUUGGAUUCUGUUUGGAUUUCCUCUUUACUGUGUUUUGGACUGUUUUCAAACCACCAUUAAAGGUGCUCCAUAUGUUAAAUCCUGUCUGCUUGUCUUGGUCCCUCCCAUCAGAGAUGUGAGUGGAUGAGGAGAGGAAGAGACAUGAGGAGAGAGGAGCCAUGGCAACAGGUGAUGAAUGAAGCCAUCAUUUUAAAAUGAUCUCCGUUAAAUACGACCCGUGACG